GUAUGAAAUUAGAGAAGAGAAGGACGCAGAUUUCUAUGAGGAUUAAGGAGAAAAGCAUUCUGUGGCUGUAUUUACUCUCUGCUCAUCCUCAGCAAAGGUUCCGUCUGAGAGGCUGCUGAGUUCAUUUCAUCCGGGAUGCACUGAAGACUACCAAGAACCAUUCCAUCCAUGGCCAUCCUCUGGCAGACAUUCUCACCUGGACAUCUCCUCUUUCCACGUGCCUCUUGUCCAGGAUGCA
rnacentral:lncRNA from 1 species